AUGCACGCUGGCGGCGUGCCUAAUACAUGCAAGUCGAGCGAACAGACGAGGAGCUUGCUCCUCUGACGUUAGCGGCGGACGGGUGAGUAACACGUGGAUAACCUACCUAUAAGACUGGGAUAACUUCGGGAAACCGGAGCUAAUACCGGAUAAUAUAUUGAACCGCAUGGUUCAAUAGUGAAAGACGGUUUUGCUGUCACUUAUAGCUGGAUCCGCGCCGCAUUAGCUAGUUGGUAAGGUAACGGCUUACCAAGGCAACGAUGCGUAGCCGACCUGAGAGGGUGAUCGGCCACACUGGAACUGAGACACGGUCCAGACUCCUACGGGAGGCAGCAGUAGGGAAUCUUCCGCAAUGGGCGAAAGCCUGACGGAGCAACGCCGCGUGAGUGAUGAAGGUCUUCGGAUCGUAAAACUCUGUUAUUAGGGAAGAACAAAUGUGUAAGUAACUAUGCACGUCUUGACGGUACCUAAUCAGAAAGCCACGGCUAACUACGUG
rnacentral:rRNA from 1 species